GUGCCAGCAGCCGCGGUAAUACGUAGGGGGCGAGCGUUGUCCGGAAUUACUGGGCGUAAAGCGCGUGUAGGCGGGACGGUAAGUCGGACGUGAAAUCCGCGGGCUCAACCCGCGAGCGCCGUUCGAAACUGCCGUUCUUGAGGGUCGAAGAGGAGAGUGGAAUUCCUGGUGUAGCGGUGAAAUGCGUAGAGAUCAGGAGGAACACCCGUGGCGAAGGCGGCUCUCUGGUCGGCCUCUGACGCUGAGACGCGAAAGCGUGGGGAGCGAACGGGAUUAGAUACCCUCGUAGUCC
rnacentral:rRNA from 1 species